GUUGUUUAUCAGCACAAUACAAAAAGAUUAAUGUUAGAAAUAUUCCAGUUAAGACUCUAGAAUAUCAUGAUUUAUGUAAAUUUACCUCAAUAAAAUGAAUGUUCAGGUUAAGAUUGUACAGUGAAAUUUAUAAUGUAAGUUUAGCUGAUUAAAGUUUAUGACUCUGCACUACAAUAUUAUUUAUUAUUUAAAUUUACAUCAUUAUUAUAAUAUUUAGGGUCAGACCCGACAGUAUUGAGAUUAAGAAAUCAAAUAUUCUAUAAAAUGUAAAUACACUGAACUCAUUUGGAUCUAUUUAAGUGAGACUCUACAAUAUUAUUUGACACAAAUCUAUCUAAAUCAAAAUUUUAAUCAUUUUUACUCCAAACAUUUACUGGACUGAUUUAAACAUUAAAAUCACUCCUUUCUAAUCCUCUGCUGUACGUUCAAACCUGAGGCCUUAAAUAGAAACACACAAGUAUCUGAUUGAAGGAACUUCUGCAGAGUCCUGGUUCCACAACAUGAUGAUAGAAUUAUAGACAAACUUUGACAAAAGCUGCCUGAGAGUUUACAGGUUUUUAUGUUGGAUUUCUUCAGUAAUUUAAUUAGAGUUUUCAGCAAUAAUCAAGUGUUCAUUUGAUUAACUUCAUUUCCUAAAACAUCCAGAAUUGGAGCUCAUAUCUUUGGCAGCUGUAAAGUUUCUGCUCCUUCAAAGUUCACAACACAAUGAAUGAAUUCCUAAAACACUCUCAAUGCUGGAGAGCGUUUGUGAUGCUGAAGCAGUGACCAGUUUUUCUGUUUCUUCUCUGGAGAUGCACAAUGAGGGACGUCUGCAGAGACUGAGAAAGAGUCUCACCACAUCCUGACAUGAGGAAAAAGAUUUUAUUGAAGACUACAAUGAGAAAAACUAUCAGACAGCAGACGGCUGCAUUCAAGAGAGGAAGACCAUCAAACAUCCACAUCAGCUGAUGGAGGUCCAAGAGUCUCACCCAACAAACAACCUACAGAGUGAAGACCUCCAAUCUGAUUGGAUGGCCUCCUAUUCAGCCACGUGUGAACAAAUGCCUCUAAGUUGAUUUGUUUUCUAAAAUAAAUCUAGUUUGAGUCCUAA